rnacentral:rRNA from 1 species
UACGUAGGGGGCUAGCGUUGUCCGGAAUCAUUGGGCGUAAAGCGCGUGUAGGCGGUCCGGUAAGUCCGCUGUGAAAGUCGGGGGCUCAACCCUCGGAUGCCGGUGGAUACUGUCGGGCUUGAGUACGGAAGAGGCGAGUGGAAUUCCUGGUGUAGCGGUGAAAUGCGCAGAUAUCAGGAGGAACACCAAUUGCGAAGGCAGCUCGCUGGGACGUUACUGACGCUGAUGCACGAAAGCUAGGGGAGCAAACGGG